AAAUUGAAGAGUUUGAUCAUGGCUCAGAUUGAACGCUGGCGGCAGGCCUAACACAUGCAAGUCGAACGGUAACAGAAAGCAGCUUGCUGCUUUGCUGACGAGUGGCGGACGGGUGAGUAAUGUCUGGGAAACUGCCUGAUGGAGGGGGAUAACUACUGGAAACGGUAGCUAAUACCGCAUAACGUCGCAAGACCAAAGAGGGGGACCUUCGGGCCUCUUGCCAUCGGAUGUGCCCAGAUGGGAUUAGCUAGUAGGUGGGGUAAAGGCUCACCUAGGCGACGAUCCCUAGCUGGUCUGAGAGGAUGACCAGCCACACUGGAACUGAGACACGGUCCAGACUCCUACGGGAGGCAGCAGUGGGGAAUAUUGCACAAUGGGCGCAAGCCUGAUGCAGCCAUGCCGCGUGUAUGAAGAAGGCCUUCGGGUUGUAAAGUACUUUCAGCGGGGAGGAAGGGAGUAAAGUUAAUACCUUUGCUCAUUGACGUUACCCGCAGAAGAAGCACCGGCUAACUCCGUGCCAGCAGCCGCGGUAAUACGGAGGGUGCAAGCGUUAAUCGGAAUUACUGGGCGUAAAGCGCACGCAGGCGGUUUGUUAAGUCAGAUGUGAAAUCCCCGGGCUCAACCUGGGAACUGCAUCUGAUACUGGCAAGCUUGAGUCUCGUAGAGGGGGGUAGAAUUCCAGGUGUAGCGGUGAAAUGCGUAGAGAUCUGGAGGAAUACCGGUGGCGAAGGCGGCCCCCUGGACGAAGACUGACGCUCAGGUGCGAAAGCGUGGGGAGCAAACAGGAUUAGAUACCCUGGUAGUCCACGCCGUAAACGAUGUCGACUUGGAGGUUGUGCCCUUGAGGCGUGGCUUCCGGAGCUAACGCGUUAAGUCGACCGCCUGGGGAGUACGGCCGCAAGGUUAAAACUCAAAUGAAUUGACGGGGGCCCGCACAAGCGGUGGAGCAUGUGGUUUAAUUCGAUGCAACGCGAAGAACCUUACCUGGUCUUGACAUCCACGGAAGUUUUCAGAGAUGAGAAUGUGCCUUCGGGAACCGUGAGACAGGUGCUGCAUGGCUGUCGUCAGCUCGUGUUGUGAAAUGUUGGGUUAAGUCCCGCAACGAGCGCAACCCUUAUCCUUUGUUGCCAGCGGUCCGGCCGGGAACUCAAAGGAGACUGCCAGUGAUAAACUGGAGGAAGGUGGGGAUGACGUCAAGUCAUCAUGGCCCUUACGACCAGGGCUACACACGUGCUACAAUGGCGCAUACAAAGAGAAGCGACCUCGCGAGAGCAAGCGGACCUCAUAAAGUGCGUCGUAGUCCGGAUUGGAGUCUGCAACUCGACUCCAUGAAGUCGGAAUCGCUAGUAAUCGUGGAUCAGAAUGCCACGGUGAAUACGUUCCCGGGCCUUGUACACACCGCCCGUCACACCAUGGGAGUGGGUUGCAAAAGAAGUAGGUAGCUUAACCUUCGGGAGGGCGCUUACCACUUUGUGAUUCAUGACUGGGGUGAAGUCGUAACAAGGUAACCGUAGGGGAACCUGCGGUUGGAUCACCUCCUUACCUUAAAGAAGC
rnacentral:rRNA from 5 species